AACGAACGCUGGCGGCAGGCUUAACACAUGCAAGUCGAACGCAUCCUUCGGGGUGAGUGGCAGACGGGUGAGUAACGCGUGGGAACGUGCCCUUCAGUUCGGGAUAACCCAGGGAAACUUGGGCUAAUACCGGAUACGUGCGAGAGCAGAAAGAUUUAUCGCUGAAGGAUCGGUCCGCCUCUGUUUAGCUAGUUGGUGGGGUAAUGGCCCACCAAGGCGACGAUCAGUAGCUGGUCUGAGAGGAUGAUCAGCCACAUUGGGACUGAGACACGGCCCAAACUCCUACGGGAGGCAGCAGUGGGGAAUAUUGGACAAUGGGCGCAAGCCUGAUCCAGCCAUGCCGCGUGAGUGAUGAAGGCCUUAGGGUUGUAAAGCUCUUUCGUCCGGGACGAUAAUGACAGUACCGGAAGAAGAAGCCCCGGCUAACUUCGUGCCAGCAGCCGCCGUAA
rnacentral:rRNA from 1 species